UACAGAGGGUGCGAGCGUUAAUCGGAAUUACUGGGCGUAAAGGGUGCGUAGGCGGUUGUUUAAGUUAGAUGUGAAAUCCCCGGGCUUAACCUGGGAAUUGCAUUUAAGACUGGACGGCUAGAGUAGAGUAGAGGGAAGCGGAAUUUCCGGUGUAGCGGUGAAAUGCGUAGAUAUCGGAAAGAACAUCAGUGGCGAAGGCGGCUUCCUGGACUCAUACUGACGCUGAGGCACGAAAGCAUGGGGAGCAAACAGG
rnacentral:rRNA from 1 species